rnacentral:rRNA from 1 species
AGUGAACGCUGGCGGUAGGCCUAACACAUGCAAGUCGAACGGCAGCACAGUAAGAGCUUGCUCUUACGGGUGGCGAGUGGCGGACGGGUGAGGAAUACAUCGGAAUCUACUUUUUCGUGGGGGAUAACGUAGGGAAACUUACGCUAAUACCGCAUACGACCUACGGGUGGAAGCAGGGGAUCUUCGGACCUUGCGCGAUUGAAUGAGCCGAUGGCGGUGUAGCUAGUUGGCGGGGUAAAGGCCCACCAAGGCGACGAUCCGCAGCUGGUCUGAGAGGAUGAUCAGCGGCACUGGAACUGAGACACGGUCCAGACUACUGAGGGAGGCAGCAGUGGGGAAUAUUGGACAAUGGGCGCAAGUAUGAUCCAGCCAUACCGCGUGGGUGAAGAAGGCCUUCGGGUUGUAAAGCCCUUUUGUUGGGAAAGAAAAGCAGCAGGUUAAUACCCCGCUGUUCUGACGGUACCCAAAGAAUAAGCACCGGCUAACUUCGUG